CACCCUUGGCAUAUGGCGGUUCCCAGGCUAGGGAUCUUAUUGGAGCUAUAGCUGCCAGCCUACACCACAGCCACAGUAAUGCCAGAUCCGAGCCAUGUCUGCAAACUACACCACAGCUCACAGCAACACCAGAUCCCCAACCCGCUGAGUGAGGCCAGGGAUUGAACCCGCAACCUCAUGGUUCCCAGUUGGAUUCAAUUCCACAGCACCACAACGGGAACUCCCUUUGAAUUUUAAUCUAAUCAUGGGAGUGACAUCCCAUUACCUUUGUUAUACUCGGCUGGUUAGAAGUAGUUCAAAAGUUGCAUCCACACUGAAGAGGAUAGGAUUACAUAAGGAUGUGACUCACUGAGGGUUACCCUAGGGUGAAUCCACUUAAAGCCCAGCUUGACCCUUAUAAUCUUUGUAUAUAAAUAUUUGUAAUACUAAAUUUUGUUAGAUAUCAUAGGAAAAUUAUGAGUAUUUACUUAAUAUGAUUUUCUAAGGUGCCUUGAGUAAGUUACCAGUAAAAACUGAACUUCCAAAAUAUAUAGGGUAAAAGGAGUGUUUAGAAUAGUGAUUGGCACAAAGCAAAUAUAUAAUAAUAUAAUUUAUUAAUAUUAUUACCAUUUGUUUUACUAUUGGUAAAUACAUUGGGCUUUGAAAGGUAAGUAUGAUAAAUUACAACAGAGUUUUGAUGAGAGCUAGAAUAGUCCUAUCCACUAUGACAGGACAAAUAAUGGUGGGAUUGAGGUGAGAGAAAAAUUAACAACAAGAAUCUGGACAAAGUCUGAACCUCCUACUGGACUGGAAACACGGUGUGUGCAGAUAACAUUUCACAUAUAUCUUCUAUUCUAUAGUUUGCUUAAUGACACAGAUUUGAAAGGUAGAAAGAAAAUAUUCAGUCAGAAUGAUUAAAAGGGAGAGUUUCACAAAGACAGGUAGGUAGCACUGAGUAUGUCUGGGAUGUGUUCAUAUGAGGGGGUUUAGCAUUUGUCUCCACAUGAGAUGUGAGAGUAGAUAUGUUCCCCAUUUUGGCCAAGGUCAGCUUACUAAGAAAAAAAUGCAAAGGUACCACUCAAAGAUGGGCAAGGAGAAGAGUGAUACCCUGUUCAUCACAUCCCAGGUAGUUAUAAUCACCCCUAAUUAAAAUUUUUCUUCCAGCGUACUUCUUGUCAAAGAGGAGAGUGUAAACAGGCAGUGAAAAUAAAAUGCCCAAAAUAGAAGUUCCGAUUAUGGUUCAGUGGUUAACGAACCCAACUAGCAUCCAUGAGGACAUGGGUUCAAUCCCUGACUUCCCUCAGUGGGUUAAGGAUCCAGCAUUGCUGUGAGCUGUGGUGUAGUUUGCCGAUGCGGCUUGGAUACUGUGUUGCUAUGGCUCUGGCAUAGGCCAGCGGCGAUAGCUCCAAUAGGACCCCUCACCUGGGAAGAUCCAUAUGUCCUAAAAAGACAAAAAUAAAAUAAAAUACCCAAAAUAAAUAGCUCAAACCAUCAAAUUUGAAACUUUACUAAAUUUCUGUCAAUUCUUACCAUUUUUCAGCAGUUUUCUCCCAGUCAGUUCUCAACACUGAAGAGACAUGUCCUAUAUUGCAAGUUUCUGCACUAUUGAGAUUUUAUUUAUGCCUAUAGAUAUUUCUCAAUUUAUUACAUAUCAUUAGGGUAAUAAGACUAGAAGUAAUGUAAAGAGAAAUCCCUAACUUAGAUUUCCUUGGAGAAUUGGGGAUAGUUAAAGAUCACUGGGUUGCAAAUGAUCUUAGUCUUGAAAAAAGAAUUGGAGAAACAUAACCAAAAAUGUUGAAGAGAGUGUCCCAGAAAGAAGCAUUAGAACGUGCAAAGCCAUGAGUACAUAGAAAUAAAUACUUUAAAAAUAAUUUUAAUGAAUUGACAUAUCUGGAAACAGAGUUAGUGAGUUUUUUUGAUAAUGUGGCAGAGAUAUGAGACUAGAGAGAUAAUCUGAGGUCAAAAUAUUGAUAGUUUUAAGGAGUUGAAUGUUUGUAAACAUAUAAUUAACAAAAUAAGUUAUGUAUUUUACAAAUAUCUUAGCGCCCUUAGGGUAAGAGCAGUGUCGGGAGUUCACAUAGGAACAUGGUGAAGCAAUACAAGUAAAUGAAAUGAAGGAAGCCAACACCAGUAGAAAAAGCAAAGAUUGGACUCGGAAGAUAUUUGAGAGAUGAUUUUAACAGCUAUUGGUGGGUAAUUUAUGCCUAGCAAAGGAAAUAAAACUUGUUUCAAACUAUUACAUCCAGUAAGAUGUCCUCUAGCCACAUGUGGCUUUAUACAUUUAAAGGUACAUUAGUUAAUACUAAGUAAAUUUAAAAAUUCAUUCCCUCAGUUGCACUAGCCACACUUCAAGUGUUCACUAGUCAUAUUUGGCCAAUGGUUACCAUAUUGGAAAGCAUAGAUAUUAGAAAAUAAUGUUAUAGCCUAAAUAUCAGAUAUUUAAUGUAUGAUACCUAUGUAUUUGUUAGAAAUACAUGAAAAAAAUUUAACAUGAGAAAUAACAAUGUUGAUUAUUAUAGAUAUGUUGUAUUUGAGCUAAAUGUGGAUAUAUGUGAAUUUUCUAUCACACUUCUGCAUUGUAUCAAUAAUACUUCAAAAAUACUCUUGCUCAUAUAUCUUUCUAUUUAGGUGAAAAAUUACAGGCUAAAUUCCUAAGUGAAUAUUUGUUAUUAUAGGAGUUUACACAUUUGUGAGUAAUAAUUAUUGCCAACUUAUCCUCCAAAUUAUAUUAUCUACUUGUAAGAUAAACCUUAUUUCCUACAAAUUAAUUUAAACUAUGUAAUAUAAAAAUUAGUUUUUUCAGCAAAGUAUAAAUGUUAUUUUUACAUUUUUCUAAUUUAUAUUUACUAUUGCGUAAUUAUGAGUGAGUCUAAACAACUUUUCAAAAAUGUAUUUUUAAUCCAUUUGUGUGUUUUUUCAGGACUAAUGGUUUCAAAUUUUCAGCCUCUUUUUUGUAUUUUUCUUAUUGAUUAGUAAGAUAUUUUUAUAUAUUAAAAUAGAAUAUUAGUCAUAGAGUUGUGAAUUAAAAAUCAUUUUUCCUACUUAUUUAUUCCUUCGAUCACCUUACAUUUCCUUUUAAUGCUGUUACAUUUACCAAUAUUUCUUUUAUAAUUUCUGGAAUACAAUUCUUGUUGACCUAUAAGAUCAUUCACUUCCUUUUUGGUAUUUAUAUAUAGAUUUAUGCUAAAAUGAUUGAUCCAUAUGGAAUUUAUUUUAAGUAAUGACAAUUUUUUUAAAAUUUUGCUAUAUAAGCACAUGGAAAAAAGAGGGAGAAUAAAGAUGCUUCCUCAGUUUUUUUGCACUUUGUUAUUGAUUUAAGCAACUAAAAAAACCUGGUUUUCAUAUAUUUAUAUGCAUAGGAUAAACAAUAGAAAUCUUAUAUCUCUAAGGGAAACAUUAGAAUAAUUCCUAAUGAAUCUAGGAGAACUUCAAUAGUAUCACUUUUCUCAAAACUAUACUGAUGGAAAUAAAUGACCUAGGUAUUACAAUAAGUCAAAAACAAUUAAUAGAAGUUCACUGGGGGAAAAAAAGAAUAAAGUUUUCACACUUUCAUAUAACAUGGUGGUUAAAUUUGAAAUACAAUUAACAUAAGGAAUUAACCAAUGUAAUGUUUAUAAUCAGAUUACUUUGAAACCUAGUUAUAAAUAAAUUGGGAGAUAGAGUGGGGUUUCAAGGGCAUGGCCAUAACCACUGUAAAGUAUAGAAAUUCAGGACAGCAAAGUAAGACCUGGUCAAAAGGAAGGACUUGCUGGAGCACUAGGGAAACUCACGGGAGAUUAUGUGCUUCAGCAUCCCAGACUCUUGUUGGUAGACAUGACGUAGCAGGGAAAAACAAAAGCAUACCAGGAACAGGAAGAGUAACUCCUACCUCUGCUUUUUCCCUCAGACCUGUCUAUUGACAACAUACAACAUCAAACCAUUCACUGGUGUUGAGCUGCCCCAUGGAGGCUUACAAGCCCUGUGCUUGUCCAGCUUCAAGACUGAAGAAAGAGCCGAGAGAUAGCAAAGAAGACAUCAACAGUUUAAUGCACAGGGAUCUUACAUGUCUGAAGCAGGGUCCUAGAGUGACACCCCAUAGUGUGUGGUGGAUGAUGGGAAGGAAAGGGGCAGGAUAUGGCAGCAGGCUUCACUGGGGAGUGAGGAUCCUGAGGGGAGAUUGCCAGUUAUAGGAUGAAUUGAUGUCAAGGUGGCUCAUUUGUUACCAGGGAAACUAGUAGAGGGGCCAACCUCUUACUACCCCUUUAAUAAGAAUAAUCACUAGCUUGGGCCUGGGGCAAUAUGUGAGAUCAGCUAUCUGAAUACAGUGCAGGUGAAACAAGCACUGGUCAAGCAGAGGAUAUACAGGGAGCAAGAGAACAGCUAUCUUGAGUGGCCUGACUGUACAAAGGGUGCAGCUCAUUAAAAAAUAACAGGUCAAAGAAAAGUGGAUGUGGAGCUGAGAGGUAGUAAUUUGAUAAUUGUCUUCCACCCCUUUUAUUACUUAGCUUCUUUAUAUAUCCUUUUAUUAAUAUUUGAACUACAACAUAAUACAAGGACCCUUGUUUUCACUGAACAAAAUAUAUCAUUUGUUAUUAUUUGUACAAGGAGAGUUCUCACCCUUUUCCCCAAAUGAGGAGACUGAAUAUUCUGUUGCUUGGAGACUUAUUUUGAAGUUCAUGCCCAACCCUAUGUAUGUAAAAUAAUAAAGGAAGGAGAUGAUAAACAUCAUUGAUAUGUACAAAAAUAGAUUCACAUAUACACACAUGGAAAUUAUGCAAACCUAAAAAUUUUUCUAUAAUUGGUUAUAAAAUCAUGGUGAUGUCAUAACUGGGUUCUCUUACUGCUCUUUCAUAUUUAGUUUGUCCUCAGCAAGAAUCUAAGUUGCUGUUGUGCUUCAUCUGGUGAAGAAGACAAAACUUUCUUCUGAAGUUUUAAGUCCUGGAUCACCCUGCCUUUUGUGGUUGCACUUAACUAUUAGACUUGAGGGAAUUAACAUACAUCCUAGGGAAACUCCUGGGUAACUGCCAUAGUCUUACUUACCCAUUUCUCUUUGCAAUAAUGGAACUUCUUUUCAGUAAUGGAAAUUUCUUUUUUUGUUCCUUUAGUGACUGAUAUAAGCUGCCCACAAAGGCCAGGUGGCAGUCUUGUCUCCAAACGCAGUGAUAGCUGGCAGAAGCAGUAUUCCUUGGAACUAAAAUUUUGAAACCAAUAGGAAAAAAAGCUGUCAAAUAAGGUUCAAAAAUUGUGUGCAUGGAUUCUUAGGUAUAAUAAUGAGAAGAGCCACUCUUACUUCAACUUCUCGAUUCCAGAACUCAGAUAACCUAGUUAUGGAAUAAACAUAUAACCAGAAUAUGUGUCUAUUUCAAUGAGGACAAAUCUCUGCUCCCUCCAUGACAUAAGUCAUCCAAAUGUAACCAAUGUGCCAGGAGGAGGUUAGCUGAGUCCCCUGAGGAAUGGUCCCAUUUUGAGGACUCAGUGUUAGUGUCUGUUAUUGGAAAAUUAGGUACUCAAGCAGCAGUCAUCUGAAGCGGGGCUAUAAUGCUGUAAUGGUUCAUUUUCAGAUAAUACCAGCAUACCUUGGAGAUCCAUUUACAAACUGGGCGCAAGUAUUUUAUUUCCUGUCGACUUGUUGAAUGGAAGUCCCACGAGCCCACAGUGGUAAUAUUAAGGGAAAGGAAACAAUGCAGGUGGAAAUAGUAUCAAAACAGAUUGAGCCAUUGCUUUAUGCAACUUGUGUAGGGCAACAACCCUGCUCCAACCCAUUCUUUUAUAUAUUAGUUCUACUUGAUGAUAGACUACUACCACACAUGUACAAAUUUAUGAAUAAACGAAUCAGACAUGGGAAACUCAGGCUACAUAUUCUUCUGAUGUCACCUUCUGUUUUUUCCCUUACAAGGCCUCAUAGCAAGCCAGAAAGUGUUUCUCAGAGUAAGAAAAUUUGCUUUCAGAGUUCAUAAGUUUUCUUUAAAAAUCCUAGAAGCUACCAUUGGGCUUACCAGGAUGCUCUGUACAGCAUCUCUAUUUGGCACAGACACUUGGAACAUCUAUGGGUCUACUGAAUCAUUAGGCCUAUGUGGAAGCAUAACUUAUACUACAGCCUGGGUUUCCUGCAAAGCCAUUUAUUGUUACAGCCCUCACUCAAAUCAGGUAGCUUUACAUGAUUUAGGAAACAUGUUAAAGAAGCACACUCAAA
rnacentral:lncRNA from 1 species